UACGUAGGGUGCGAGCGUUAAUCGGAAUUACUGGGCGUAAAGCGUGCGCAGGCGGUCUGUUAAGUCCGAUGUGAAAUCCCCGGGCUUAACCUGGGAACUGCAUUGGUGACUGGCAGGCUUUGAGUGUGGCAGAGGGAGGUAGAAUUCCACGUGUAGCAGUGAAAUGCGUAGAGAUGUGGAGGAAUACCGAUGGCGAAGGCAGCCUCCUGGGCCAACACUGACGCUCAUGCACGAAAGCCAGGGGAGCAAACGGG
rnacentral:rRNA from 1 species